GAGAGGGGGGGGGUUUGGGCGGAGUGAAGAGGGCUAUUCUUUUCUUCGCUUCGCUCGUUGUUGUUUCCUCCGCAGCCGAACUUGAAUUCCACGCUGUCGAACUCCACUUGCGUAUUUUUCUCGUUACUCUUCGUGCUUCCUCGUGUUCUGCUGCUCCUCUUCGAGACGCCGGUCACGGAUCACACGAGGACUCCGUAGUUCCCCGUAUCUCUCCCUUCCCCUUCCCCUUCCGCUUCCCUGCCAUCUCCUCCAUAAGGAGAGGAAAGCGGAGGAGGAAGAAGCGGAAGCAGCACCACGGCACUCCUCCGCUCACCGGUGAGCGGCGUGUUGUCGCUCGCCUGCAUCGCGUCCGCCAUCGAAUUCAGGCCCACUUGUCCUUUUGAAGAAAGUAAUUAUGAACUUUCUGAGCAAUGUGGAGCAGCUUUGAAUUGCAAGAAUCAGUCCGUCUUUGUGAUCUGAAAACACAUGGCAAAACCUGGAAAUAUGGGGCACAGUGGAUUUCUUAGGUAUCCAAAUGACUGUAUGAGAAUUAUUAUAAACAUAUUUGUUGGAGUCGUUAUAGGCUUUUUUAUUGGAGUUUCCUUUCCAACAGCUAAUAUGCCAAAGCUCCACUUGGCUGGUAGCAUCACCACAUGCAUUGAGGACAAGAAUUCAGCCUUUGCAACCCAAGCAUUGCUGAAUCACACUUGGCCUUCUAUACAUAGUCACAACGGAAACAACUCAACAGUACAUUAUAAUGAUACCUCAAAGAUCUACGUUCCUAAAAAUCCCCGAGGUGCAGAAAGGCUCCCACCAAAUAUCAUCGUAUCCAAGUCAGAUCUUUAUCCACGAAGGUUGUGGGGGAAUCCAAGUGAGGAUUUUCAGAUACAGCAGAAGUACCUAGUAACUUUCACAGUUGGAUAUGACCAGAAAAACAACAUCGAUGCAGCAGUUAAAAAGUUCUCGGAAAAUUUUACAAUCAUGUUGUUCCAUUAUGAUGGACGGACAAGUGAGUGGGAUGAAUUUGAAUGGUCAAAGCGGGCUAUUCAUGUUAGUGCCAGAAAACAAACUAAAUGGUGGUUCGCAAAACGGUUUUUGCACCCCGACAUUGUGGAUUCAUAUGAGUUCAUAUUCAUUUGGGAUGAAGAUCUAGGAGUCGAGCAUUUUGAUGCCGAAGAAUACAUUAAGCUGGUAAAGAAACAUGGGCUGGAGAUUUCACAACCUGGCCUACAGCCUAGUAAAGACUUAACAUGGCUAAUGACGAUGCGGAGAGAGGGAAGCGAAGUCCAUAAAGAAACAAAGGAGAAACAUGGCCGGUGUUCCGACCCUCAUCUUCCACCCUGUGCUGCGUUCGUCGAGAUAAUGGCGACUGUGUUCUCCCGAGAUGCCUGGCGUUGUGCAUGGCAUAUGAUUCAGAACGACUUGGUUCACGGAUGGGGUCUUGAUUUUGCUCUUCGGAGAUGCGUGGAGGGGGCUCACGAGAGAAUUGGAGUCGUGGAUUCGCAAUGGAUCGUUCACCAAGGGAUUCCUACGCUUGGUAACCAGGGACAGAAACAGAAUGGAAAACAACCAUGGAAGGGGGUACAGGAUCGGUGUAGAAAAGAGUGGAAAAUGUUCCAAGAUCGGAUGGCCGACGCUGAGAAGGCAUACAUAUCGAAGAGAUGGUGAUGAAGCCACCAAUCUGUAGAACACGGUGACUCCGAACGUGAUCGAUUCGACAGGUAUCACCAAUCGAUAUAAAUUAUGUACUCUCGAUGGUAAGAGGAAAAGAACCUGCUUUGGAUUAUAAUCUUAAAAUGGAGAUACAACUCCUUUGUGGCCAUGUAAA